rnacentral:tRNA from 1 species
GACUCCGUAGCUCAGUUGGUAGAGCAGUGGCCUUUUAAGCCAUUGGUCGAGCGUUCGAGUCGCUCCGGAGUCA